GACGAACGCUGGCGGCGUGCUUAACACAUGCAAGUCGAACGAGAGGACAAGAGAAGCUUGCUUCUUUUGGAAUCGAGUGGCAAACGGGUGAGUAACACGUAAACAACCUGCCUUCAGGAUGGGGACAACAGACGGAAACGACUGCUAAUACCGAAUACGCUUGGGAGACCGCAUGAUCUACCAAGGAAAGGGUGGCCUCUACCUGUAAGCUAUCGCCUGAAGAGGGGUUUGCGUCUGAUUAGCUGGUUGGAGGGGUAACGGCCCACCAAGGCGACGAUCAGUAGCCGGUCUGAGAGGAUGAACGGCCACAUUGGGACUGAGACACGGCCCAAACUCCUACGGGAGGCAGCAGUGGGGAAUAUUGCACAAUGGGGGAAACCCUGAUGCAGCGACGCCGCGUGAGUGAAGAAGUAUUCGGUAUGUAAAGCUCUAUCAGCAGGGAAGAAAGUGACGGUACCUGAAUAAGAAGCCCCGGNUAACUACGUGCCAGCAGCCGCGGU
rnacentral:rRNA from 1 species